GACGAACGCUGGCGGCGCGCCUAACACAUGCAAGUCGAACGAGCGAGAGAGAGCUUGCUUUCUUGAGCGAGUGGCGAACGGGUGAGUAACGCGUGAGGAACCUGCCUCAAAGAGGGGGACAACAGUUGGAAACGACUGCUAAUACCGCAUAAGCCCACGGUGCCGCAUGGCACAGAGGGAAAAGGAGCAAUCCGCUUUGAGAUGGCCUCGCGUCCGAUUAGCUAGUUGGUGAGGUAACGGCCCACCAAGGCGACGAUCGGUAGCCGGACUGAGAGGUUGAACGGCCACAUUGGGACUGAGACACGGCCCAGACUCCUACGGGAGGCAGCAGUGGGGAAUAUUGCACAAUGGGGAAAACCCUGAUGCAGCGACGCCGCGUGGAGGAAGAAGGUCUUCGGAUUGUAAACUCCUGUUGUUGGGGAAGAUAAUGACGGUACCCAACAAGGAAGUGACGGCUAACUACGUG
rnacentral:rRNA from 1 species